AUGGCCGUGAUAAAGGUGCGAAUGAGCAAACUCCGCAAGGCAAAGAGUGUUGAGGACAGCAGGCACAAGAGUGCCAGUCGCGAGCCAAAGGAAGGCCAGAGCAGCAACCCAAAGAGGGCCAAUGGCGAGGCACCAGUUGAGCCUCAGCAGAGGGAAGUUUGUGCAUUUUGCGACGAUGGUGGUGAAUUAAUCUGCUGUGAUGGUGGAUGUCUGAGAUCCUUCCACCCAACCAAAGAACAUGGUGAAAGAUCUAUGUGCACAACCCUUGGGCUAAAUGAAGCAAAGUGGCAAAAGCAUAAAGCACUAGGGGAAAAGGGGUUAUAUUUCUGUGAGAACUGCAAGCAUAAGCAGCAUCAAUGUUUUGCUUGUGGAUUAUUGGGGUCUUCAAACUUAACAGCAGGUCCUGAGGUAUUCCAAUGUAAGGAGCAAAAGUGUGGGCACUUUUACCACCCGGGAUGUGUUGCUAAAAUACUCUACCCUGAUAACAAAGCCAAGGCAACAUGUUUUGAGCAAUGUGUUGCUGGUGGACUGGAAUUCAGUUGUCCCGUGCAUAAAUGUAAGCGGUGUAAGGAAGCAGAGAACAAGCAUGACAAGGAAAUGCAAUUCGCAGUAUGCAGGCGCUGUCCAACUGUAUACCACCGGAAGUGCUUGCCAAGGGAUAUUUCCUUGAUAGAGGACGAGGAAGAGGCUACUCCGCAAAGGGCAUGGGAUGGCAUUCUACCUGAUCAAAUUUUAAUCUACUGCGGGAAGCAUGAGAUUCAAGAAGAGCUGGGAACUCCCAAGAGGGACCAUAUUGUCUUUCCAGAUGUGAGAAAUCCUGGUGCAGCAGAAAGGCAUAGAGGUGCACCUCAGAGGCACGAUAUACCCGACGAAGACGAGCUACUCGACCGCCUAGCGUCCUGCAAUCCAUCUCAGUCCCCUCAGCCGGCAGAAACAGACCGCAGUAGGGUGAAGCCCAUCGAUUCAUUUGCGCCGAAGCACUUGUUCCCGCGUCCACAUCCAGGCUCCUGCGGUUGGCUUGAUGACUGA
rnacentral:rRNA from 1 species